rnacentral:lncRNA from 1 species
GCAAUUUUGAAUAAUAUCUUGGUAAGACUGUCAGUUUACGAUAAUACUAAAUGAUGUUUCGAUAAGAUGAGAACACCUAUUGGGUGCUGUCGAAAGAAGUAUACUGUACUUCAGAUGGGUGAACAGACACUUGUUUCUUGUCAUGUAAAUGUCUAUAAAUUAUUUGACUGUAUACACUACUACAAUAAACUAGAGGUACUUGUUUCUAUGAUAUCCAUGAGAAGGACAGGUCGACUAUCCAAAUGUAUUUUUUUACAGAGACACAUUCUUGUGGCUGAUAAAGAAAUGCAAAACUUACACAAUAUAUAUAUUCUGUUUGGUAACAAAAUAGCAAAAUAUCUAAAAAUAGGUAUGAUGAAAUAGACACUGUAUCCUUGCAUUGGUAUGCAUUUUAUGUGAUAUUUAGAAUGAAGUCACAUGUUGUGGCUGUAUUGCCUACACAUCCUAUGAAUGUCAUUUAAAUGUGACUAUUGCGUCUGGAAAUCAAGCAAUCCUCUCUUACCCAGAGACAUAUGAACACAUCAUGCACAAGUUUAUAUGUCUCUGAUAUACAUGUAUCUCAGACAAAGUCAGGCAUAAUACUUAUGCAAGUGGUAAAUAUUUACCUUUACAGGUGAAUUCCUUCAGUUAAAACUUGUCAUAUAGUACUACAAUGUAUUGAUUUCAUCUUAAUCUGGUGCUUAUGUAUUUCUCACAGUCCUUUGGUAUAUAUUUUUAACGUCCGGGAUUGGGAUUCAGGCUUGCUAGAUCUAGAAAUCACCUUGUUCUCUUUAAAUAGUCUAUAAUUAGUUUGGAAAAAGGGCUAUUUUGUCAUAUAAGUAAAAAAAAAUCAUAUUUUCUUCUUGUUUCAAUUUCUUUUGACUGCAUUGCUGUAAAUGUCAGAGUGAUUUUCUGUAAUUACCGUAAUACACGUGUAGAUGUCAAUAUACUAUUCAUAAAUGUAUAAUUUCAUGGACAAAGAACAUACUUGUCUUCUACAUGUACACUUAUGAUAUCAUUUCCAAACACCCAAGGAGCAAAUUUUGAAGGCCUUGCACAGCAACUUUACAUCCAUAAAUAUAUAUCUUUGUUUUUCCUUGAUCAUGACUUAAAGUUGAACUCUCAUUAAAAAAGUUUUAGUGAUACAAAAAUAAACCAGAAAAAAUAUAUAGGACAUUAUAUAGGUAUAUGUAUUGACCUAAAAAAAAGUUGAGAAUUUAAGUUGUGAAUAUAAAUUACUUGUAAAGUACAAUGUAUACUUUUGGAGAAGGUAAAAGGGAGAUAAAUCAAAUCUUGAGAUGACCAUGAAAAUCAUAAAAAGGAGUAGGUUCAGUAAGACCCCUUAUUGGCCCCAAAAUAUAGCAGUUUUACAAUAUUGUGAAAAUGUAAUCUUUAAGCUAUUUAAUAGAAAGUAGAAUGCUUCAGCUAGAUAAAUAUUGGCUGUUUUUGACAAUACAAUGCACAUAUAUCGGUUAGUAGCAUCAGUAAGUCAUGCUUAAUUACUGAAAUCUUCACAAUUUUUGCAUUUUAGUUAAAUUUUAGAUGGUGUCCGUCUGAAAUGAAAGUGGCCGCAUUCGUGUUCAUUCAUAAUAUUGAAAUGCAAGUUGUAUUUGAUGAUAAUACAUAAUAUAUAUAAAGUUGAGGAUGAACACAGAUGCGGCCACUUUCAUUUUCUACAAAAAAAAACAUUUGAAAAGUGACGUUUUUUGACAUAUAUUUGGUAGAUUUUUCAUAUUUAAACUUGAAUCCCAGCUUUUUAAUGACUAAAUCAGUUAAAAUCUUUCACUAAACUAAUCGAAUCAAUUGAAAUAGACACUUAAGUGUUUAUAAAGUGUCUAAAAUCUUUCGUUAGAUGAUCUUGAAAAUUGAGGCCAAAAUCGGCCCUUACCGGACAUACUCCUUUACUUCUACAAGUAGAUUUAUUGAAAUCUUAUUACGGGUCUUUGAUAAUUGAAAAUUGAGGCCAAAAUCGGCCCUUACCGGACAUACUCCUUUACUUCUACAAGUGGAUUUAUUGAAAUCUUAUUACGGGUCUUUGAUAAUUGAAAAUUGAGGCCAAAAUUGGCCCUUACCGGACAUACUCCUUUACUUCUACAAGUAGAUUUAUUGAAAUCUUAUUACGGGUCUUUGAUAAUUGAAAAUUGAGGCCAAAAUUGGCCCUUACCGGACAUACUCCAUUACUUCUACAAGUAGAUUUAUUGAAAUCUUAUUACGGGUCUUUGAUAAUUGAAAAUUGAGGCCAAAAUUGGCCCUUACCGGACAUACUCCUUUACUUCUACAAGUAGAUUUAUUGAAAUCUUAUUACGGGUCUUUGAUAAUUGAAAAUUGAGGCCAAAAUUGGCCCUUACCGGACAUACUCCUUUACUUCUACAAGUAGAUUUAUUGAAAUCUUAUUACGGGUCUUUGAUAAUUGAAAAUUGAGGCCAAAAUUGGCCCUUACCGGACAUACUCCUUUACUUCUACAAGUAGAUUUAUUGAAAUCUUAUUACAGGUCUUUGAAGAAAACCUGCAUGUCCUAAAUACCAUAAUUUUGAUUGCAAAAUACCAAUAUUGUGUUGGUCCUUGCAAAAUUUUGAUGGACAAAAGUUGAAAACCUUUGGAGUGUGGACUAGCUACCUCUUUUUAUGUUAAGUUUAUGUGAUAGUUAAAGUAAAGCUUUCUAUUUAGGACUAUCAACAUAAUAUCAAUUGUUAUUAAAGAAAGUGACACAUUUCAGUGUGUGCAUUCUUGAUAAAAUUAUAUUUUCAUCCUUAUCAUUGCUUAUACUUGUGUGUACAUAUUUUUUUUAUUAAAAGGCCUAAAUCUCCCUGAUGUAAUUAAAUUUCAUUGAUUGACAUGAUAAUUAUUAGUACAAAAUGUAGAACUAGUAAAGCCUAGACAGAUCCUUUUUUCUUGAAUCAGGGACAUAGGAUACUUAAUACAAUCAGAUUGGAGAUAGUACUGUAUGACAGUAUGAGUAUCAUAUGUAUAUCAUCAUGAUCAUUAUGUCUAGCCAGUGUGAUAACAUUUUCUAUUGGAUACUGAUUAUAUGUAUUUAUAUUCUGAAGAAGAUUUAUUGUUUCUACUUUUUAUCAGCUCAAUACAAAGAAAUACAUGUUGUAUCCUGCCAUUUAAUAUAUAGUCAGAUAAUCAUGAUUAUUUGAGAUCUGAACUCAUCAAUAUUUUAUUUGAAUUUGAGCAUUGAGUUGCUUAUGAAUACUAAAUCACCAAAUUAUUACAUAAACAAGCAUGUAUUUAAAAUCUUAAUUGUUAGCUUAUCUACUGAGCAAGUGGGGCUGUUUUUUUAUGUUUUUGUUUUAUAAUGUAGAUCACUUGUUGACAAUCAAAUCUGAUGCUGUACAAUGUUUAAAGUGGCUAUUGCACAUUCAAGUCCCCUGUUUUUGUUGUUGUAAAAACCUAUAGAAUUUUCUUUAGAAACAGUGGGUAUUUUUUUAAAACAGGAAUGCAAAUUGGUUAUUUUUAGCUGUUUUAUAUAUUUUUUUAAUUUCUCUGUACUGUCAGGUUUCCUUAAGGUAGCAUGACUUCUCUCCCUUUAACUUUGUUAUUUGUUCUCAGAUAAUUAUAAUGUGUCAUAAAUGUCUUUCUGUUAGAAUAAAUAGUAAUUGCUGUACCUUUCUGGUCUACAUGUUGCUAUCACACUUAAAAAUGUUAUCAAAGUUCUAAAGUCCUUUAGUUGUAUACAUUAUACAUCUGAAAAGCACCUCAUUUUCAAUUAUAAUAGCAUAUCGUCGCUGUUAUGCAAAAACCUCGUAUCUAAGGUUUUGAUAAUUUUACACCAGGCAGUAAAAACUGAAAUCUUGUUAUCGAUUAUUUAGAAUUUAAUAUGCAUGUUCCGCUGUAUGCGAAAAUAUCUGAUCUUCUAACCAAUCAAUUACCAAGACGAGCAAAAAUGUCUGCACCUAUAUUGUAUUUUCAUUAUUUUUAAGCUAAUAUAUUAGCUUUGAGAACCUAAAAUUGAUAAAACCGUACCUGUAAUAAUGUCAGCUGCCGUGAAAAGUGUUUUUCUUUUGAGAUACGAUAUUAUCGCACAACAAAAUGUCUCACCAAUCCGACUACACUUUUUCGUCACAUGUCAGAAUUCGGGUUAAUGAUUGGUUAGAAGAUCAGAUAUUCUCGCAUACAGUGGAACAUACAUAUUUAAUUCUAAAUCUUCGAUAAAAAGAUUUCCUCAAAAAAUUGAGAUACGAGGUUUUUGCAUAACAGCGACGAUAUGUUGAAUAAAGUUUCUAAUAAAUUCAAUUUUUGCUAAAUAUUUAUGCAAACACCAAUAUUGUGAAGGACAUUGGUAAAAUCUAUAUAAAACUUGAUAGGAAUUUGAAUAUGUUUACACCACAAUCUCACUGGCCGUGUGAAAAAUAUCAUCAUCUAAAAAGUUUCUAGGAGGAGUCAUUUUGUUUUAUUCAUCAUCAGGGUAGAUUUGAUAUAAUCCCACAUUAUCGAAUUCAGCAAUGCAUAAAACGUUUUGUGAUUUGUAAUUAAAUGCUAUUCAAAAUCGAGAUUAUGCAACAAUUAUACAAUGCAGUUUCAAUACACAUUCAGUUUUUAUUGCAUAAUUUUGAUUGAAAGUUUUAUAAUUGAAAAUUUGAUAUCCAAAGAAUACAAGUUAAUUAUGCUAUUUAAAUUAAUGUAUUGAUGUUAGGGAAACACUAUCUGAUUUCUCCCGUUUACUUUAAUGUGUUUUACCUGAAUUUGUAAACUGUCUCUAAGGAGAAGAUAUUGAUUCUGGUUAACAUGAUUGUCAGAUACAGUUAACAUUAAAAACAUAGGCUACAUAUAUUUCUUUCAAGGUAAGUAAUUUUUAAGCUUUCUGUACAUGUACUUUGAACUGAGUUUUUUUCUCUCUCGUAAAUAUUUGUAAGUGGCUUUCUAUAAGCCAAAUUGUAUAUCUAUGAGCAAUGUAUAUCCCAUCACAUUCUUUGGUGUAUGUCGACCCAAUGAAUUUAUAUUAAACUCCCUGUAGAAAAAAUGUAUAACUUUUUUUGCUUAUAAACUGAUCACUUUAUUAAUGGGUUGAACGUUAAAAUAUAUGGCCCAUUUUAUUACUUGUAUAUUGAAAAACUUGACUAAAUUAUAUAUAGUAACAUUGUUUAUGGAUCUUUGAGAUUCAGUGUCUUGACUCAGUGUUUGAAAAACUAAUUUUGAAAUUAAUAUAUAUACAAAGAUCAUUCUUAGGACUACAGUCAUCUACAAAGUAGUUAUUAGGAUUGGUACUGGUCAUGCAUGUUUGAAAUUUACUUUUGUUUUGAAUUUUUUCACGAGCAGAUCGACAACUCUUAUGUCUAUAUUAAAUCAGAACAUUUCCUGUCAUUGUUGAAUUUAAGUUCUAAAAUAAAUAAGAUUUAAUGUAACCAUUAAAAGCAUGUGGUGUUGUAAAUCUUAUUUAAAUACUUUGUAUUGUGUUACUUAAUAUCAUUUAAAAUCUCUAUGCAUGGAUAAUUUAAUAUUUUUGAUAUGGCACAAAAAUGUAGGAUUUUAUUGGUAUUUAGAUGAACUUUUGCUGGACAUAUAGAAAGAUAGACUUACGUAAAUGUCAAUAUUGUCGAUUUUUUAUUGAUCGUAAGUAGUUGGAAGUAAUUAAACUUUUAGAUUAGGUUACCUUCUGUGUUUUUGUUUUCAUUUGGUUUAAUGUAUAUAGUCUUUAUAUAUUCAUUGAAGUGGAUUGUCAAGUUUUAAAGCGGAUUUUCUACUCAGAUUUUGCAUUUAUACAAUGUAUACUAUAGCCUGUCUUAAAGUUCUCACCAGGUAUUUUUUGCUUUAGCUUAUAGUACAUUUAUGAUUUAUUUUUAAUAUAUAUAUUUACAUUAAAUUUAUAUAUUAAAUACCUGUAAUUUUAUUUGAUGUUUGAAUUUUUUUAAAAGAUCAACAUGUAUACAUUUUAGAUUAAAUCAGAAAAGUUCUUUUAAUGUUUAUAUUAAAAUAUAUACUAUGUUUAUAUUAUAAAGGUGCACAUGUUUGAAUUUGUUGCAAAAGCCUGACUCAUGGUUUAAUGUUGACAAUCUGCAUGCAUUGUGUUUUAAAAAAGGUAUAAUCAAUUUUAAAAUGAUAAGAUAUUUAAAUAUUUCAUGGUUCAUAUACAAUCUAUUGUUUCAUUGUAGGUUUUGUAAUAUCAACAGAGAUCCUAUGAGGAAUAACAUGGAAUGAGUUGACAUAAUUGUUUGAGUGCAUAUGACAAGGAUUAAAAAAUUCACAAGAAAAUGUAGGUAUAAUUUUAUCUAUUUGAUCAGGGCUAAUCUGCAGAUCAAUAUCAGAAAAGUUUAAAUCUGUCAAAUUGUGAUUUGUAUAGAUAUAAGGGAAACAGGAUUCUUAAGUGGUUGUUUGGGAGAUACUUUUCAAGUAAGGUAUUCAUUGUUUGAAUAUAAUUAUUGUAAAAUGGUCUUUGUUUUGUUUAGUAAAAUUCCAUUUGUACAUACUUUUAUCCUCUAAAACCUUUUAAAACUUAAAUACAUUAUACAUGUAUGUAGAUACAUUUUGUUGGUUCAAAUAGAUGUAUUUUGCAUAAUAUGAAGCACUGUAAAUAUUCGGUAUCAACUGCAAUUUAAUUUUACAAGAUGAAUGUUUUAAGCAAAUUUUUCAAGCCAGUUUUAUGCUUAAGGAAAAUGAUGUCUGAACAAAAUAUUUUGAUACACUCAAACAUUAUUUGUAAACCAUACAAAUAUUUCAACAAAGAAACUAUUUGUUGGACAAAGAAUUUGGUGGCACAGGAUUUAGAUUUAUAUGCUCUUUCCUUUAAUAUGAUUUUAAAUCCAGAUUUUUUUGGUGGUAAACAGUGGCAAACAAGCUCAUUUUGGGGCCCUUUAUAAUUUGCUGUUUGGUGUGAGCCUAGGCUCCUUGUAAAAAAUAGGCUUGUUGAAACCUAAAAUGGUUUACUUUUAUAAAUUGUGACUUGGAUGGAGAGUUGUCUCAUUGGCACUCAUACCACAUCUUCUUAUAUCUAUCAGUCAAAAAUCUAUAGAAAUAUUAUUACUAAUGUCAUGACUUUUCUUACAUAUGGUAAAGCUUAGCUUUAGUUGUAAUCGUAAUAAGUUUAUUGCAACUCAACAUAUAAAAUAAUGCUAUAGCAUCAACAACAUAUAUAGUAUAGUAAGCGACAUAAUAUAAAUGAAAACAGAAAGCAAAAUAAUAACAAAAAAAACAUAUUAAACAAAUAGUACAGUAUAAUUAUUAUCUACUUUAUCAAGUUAAAUACAUCUUGAUAAUUAACAAAUCAAUGCAGGUGAAAUGAAUGCAGAACAAAAAAAAAAGAACUUCACGCACAGCGUAAACAUCAUUAUAGAUCAGAUUAUCACAUGUUUGUGUGUAAAACAAGAAAUUAAGAUACACAUCUGUAAAAGGCACCCUAUUGCUGUGGUUGCUUUACUUCUCUCAUUGAUUUGCCUAUUAUGGCUUCAGUGUAAAAUUACUAGAAUACAUGUAUAAGCAAGAAAGGAUUGGAAUCUUGAACCAUUGACAGAUGUUAAGUGUACCAUAUGAAUACAAUAUCAGGCCAGGUACUUUUUGUAUAAAAAUGGGGUAUCACUAUCAAUGAAUGGGACAGCAACACUACAACUCAAAAAUAGCAAAAUAAGCCUAGAUGUAUUGUCUUCAGCAUUAUGCCAUCUGAAAUGAUUUGUCAGACAUCUUGUUUUAUAGUAGAAAUUGGUAGUGCAAUCUGGCCCGAGAACACAGUUAUUUCGUAGUACAUUUCUUUUAGACAAUAAAUUAAAAUUAAAAAAAUCGCACCUGCUCUUUCUCAAAAAGAUUUUUACAGCGUAGUGUACUACCAGUGAGACAAAUAAUAUCAAAAUUAUAGAAACUUCUACCAGCUCUAACUCAAAAUAUUGACAAUUCUGUGUUAAGGGGUGUAAAAUUCAGUUUGACAGCUUCAGACGUGAUAAAAUUUGACCUUUUUGAACUGGACUAAAUCACUACUCAACACAAAAAUUCAGCACCCAAAUUUUUUUAACAUGUAAUAAAAUCCCCCCUACUUAAUAUUUUAUGCAUUUAAUAUCAAGAAAUAAAUUGGGAAAGUGCAUCAAAUAAAACAUGCAAGUUAUACACUGUUUACACCAGGGACUAUAUUCAUAGACAACGAAAACCAAAGGACGAUAACUGUUUCCUUGGACCAUCUUUAAAAAAAUAUACUACAUUCUUUGUAUUGUCUUGAUGAUAGAUUUAAAAUAUUUUUCUUAGGAAUUUCAAAGUGCCAUCCCACAUAAAUUGAAUGAGAGUACUUUGGGGGAUUAUUUUUUUAUCAUCAAUUAUAUUUAAAUAAUGAAUGCAACCUUUCUAGUGAUUUUUGACUCAAAAGCUUUCAAGGACCUUUACUUAAACUCGUCUAUUUAAGAACUUAAGAUUUUUAAAGUUUGAUUUUUUCAACACUCAUCUAUUAAAUUACCUUUUUUAACUUAGAAUUUCUGAAGUAAUGUGGUCUUCAUUGUGGUUUAUUUACAUUCAUGAGUGUAAAAUGAUAAAGAUCUAAAAUAAAGUUAUUAAAUUACUGUUUAAUAUGUCAAUUUAUUUAUUUAAUCAAUCUAGAAUGAGGUGUAGAUUUUAACCCAGUAGAAUGAAUUGACAUGUUAAAUGGGGUUGGUUUUAUCAUAUUUUAAUUGUAUAUAUAUGUUAAUAAAAUAGGGUAUAUUUAUGGUUGAAGCCAAUUUUAGGAAGAAGGUGAAAUUUUUUAGGUGGUAAAUGGAAUAUUAAGUGAUAAAUGGAAAAUUAGGUGGUAUAUGUCUCCAUUAGAAUAGAGGUAAUUCUUCUUUAUUAUACUUGUCUAGGUGAUAUAUAUAAGUGAGGACAAUCUAUGGAAAAAAUCCUAAUUUGUUUAAAUCUGGUAAGUGCUAGCAGAAAAUUGAUUUAUUUGACUUGAAACAUUACUUAUUCUUUUAAAGGUAAGCUAAAAUAAAGAUUGUUCCAACAAUAAAAAUUUGAAGUUGUUAAAAGAUUGAGCUAGUUUUACAAAACAUACAUAUUGGGACACAUACUGACUCGAACAACUUAGGAAUUUAAUUGUUGAGAAUUAAAAAAUAAAAAAAAUCUAAGGAUAUGGACUGGUUGAGUUUAAAGAAGCUUAUAAUGUAUUUUUUUUAGAUUUUUUGCUUAUUAUUGUGUGUUUCCUUAGUUUUGUCUUCCAAAGUUUGUGUUUAUAUAUUUGCGCAAAUGUCAGAACUAUUUCUGUAUAUAUAUUAGACAUGUAUAUGCACUUUAAUGAAUGAUAGUGUACCAUGUAUAUUUUGUAAGAUUUGAUUGAUUGAUGAGUUAAUUUAUCUUCAUUUUCUUAAUGCUCAGUCGCAAAUAUUUCAUUAAUUUGUGCAUCCCCACACAGGGCAGGUGCACUCAACUCCUUUAUUUAUGGACUAGGGUUAUCAGAGUUCCUACCAAAGAUCUGUGGUUCUCUCUGGACACUGGCUUCCUCCACAAAUAAAAACUGACUGCAACCAAACAGCACUAUAGUAUUAUCAGAGUUCCUACCAAAGAUCUGUGGUUCUCUCUGGACACUGGCUUCCUCCACAAAUAAAAACUGACUGCAACAAAACAGCACUAUAGUAUUGGAAGUGAUGUUACACACCAAUCAAGAACCACAUAAUUUCUGAAUAUGACAGAGUGCUAGCAUUAAUACAUAUGUGAAUAUAAAAUUGAGGGACAUUAGAGUUAACUUUACUAUAAUAAAAUUAUACGUGUCAAUAAAUAAAUGCUUGUCACUUUUUAAGCAUUUACCUCAAAACAAUAGAUACCUUGAAAUCAAUUUGCACAAUUAUGAUAGAGAUAUAUGUAUCUUGUAAAGCUUAUACAUCAGUAUUUUAUGCAAGUAAGCAUUCUAUUGUCUUAUUGACAUUAUUGUCUCACCUUGACACUACAGUGUAACCAGUGUUAUCAGACACAGAACUCUAGUAUUGUGUCACCUUGAUAUUAUAGUGUAACCUGUGCUAUCGGACACACUGGGGGACCAGAAAAAAAAUGCCAGAUUAAGCAGGGUGUCGAAAUACCCAAGUUUAUUUUCUGUAAGGAUAGGCUUAUUUUGGGACCAUGAUAAUGUGUUGGUUAAAGCAGGAUGUUGGAAUACUCAGAUGUCAGAUUAGGCAGGUUACACUGUAUAUGUACAAUAUGUAUUUAUUUCAAUCUCUCUGCCAAUUUUCACAGUUAAAAAUAAAAGCACUGAAUUAUUUUAAGCUUUGUAUUUUGUUUGUAAUUUUAUGUUCACUUUAAAUGUAUUAAAUGUAUAGUUUUUAUAUCCACAGAUUGUAGAAACAACAGGGAUAUGCGUUAAGAAGAUUAAGGUAGAAAGAGAUUAAUAUCCAGAUUAACUUGUGGCUUUCUGGAUUAACUAAGAUUUUUUUGGAUUAUUGUUUUCCAG